rnacentral:rRNA from 1 species
GAACGAGCUGAGCCCUUCGGGGCUCGAUGCUAGUGGCGCACGGGUGAGUAACGCGUGGGAACGUUCCCUUUAGUACGGAAUAACCAAGGGAAACUUUGGCUAAUACCGUAUACGCCCUUCGGGGGAAAGAUUUAUCGCUAAAGGAUCGGCCCGCGUCUGAUUAGGUAGUUGGUAGGGUAAUGGCCUACCAAGCCUACGAUCAGUAGCUGGUCUGAGAGGAUGAUCAGCCACACUGGGACUGAGACACGGCCCAGACUCCUACGGGAGGCAGCAGUGGGGAAUAUUGGACAAUGGGGGAAACCCUGAUCCAGCCAUGCCGCGUGAGUGAAGAAGGCCUUCGGGUUGUAAAGCUCUUUCGGCGGGGACGAUGAUGACGGUACCCGCAUAAGAAGCCCCGGCAAACUUCGUG